rnacentral:rRNA from 1 species
AGCAGCCGCGGUAAUUCCAGCUCCAAUAGCGUAUAUUAAAGUUGUUGCAGUUAAAAAGCUCGUAGUUGAAUUUCGGGGUCAGUAGGUCGGUCGUGCCACUGGUAUGAACUGGUUUUACUGAUUCCUCCCUCUUGAAGAACUGUAAUGCCAUUAAUUUGGUGUUGCAGGGAAUCAGGACUGUUACUUUGAAAAAAUUAGAGUGUUUAAAGCAGGCUUUAGCUUGAAUACAUUAGCAUGGAAUAAUGAAAUAGGACGUUUGAUCCUAUUUUGUUGGUUUCUAGGAUUGACGUAAUGAUUAAUAGGGAUAGUUGGGGGCAUUAGUAUUCAAUUGUCAGAGGUGAAAUUCUUGGAUUUAUUGAAGACUAACUACUGCGAAAGCAUUUGCCAAGGAUGUUUUCAUUAAUCAAGAACGAAAGUUAGGGGAUCGAAGACGAUCAGAUACCGUCGUAGUCUUAACCAUAAACUAUGCCGACUAGGGAUCGGAUGAUGUUAAUUUUUUAAUGUACUCAUUCGGCGCCUU